rnacentral:rRNA from 1 species
UGAAUACGAGACGCUAAGGCGUCGAAGUAGUGUAUGUCAUACUUCCAAGAAAAGCUUGCACUGUCAUAGAUAAAAAACGCCUGUACCAUAACCGACACAGGUGGGUAGGUAGAGUAUACUAAGGGGCGCGAGAUAACUCUCUCUAAGGAACUCGGCAAAAUAACUCCGUAACUUCGGGAGAAGGAGUGCCUUAUUCGUAAGGUUGCAAUAACAAGAUCCAAGCAACUGUUUAUCAAAAACACAGGUCUCCGCUAAGUCGUAAGACGAUGUAUGGGGGCUGACGCCUGCCCAGUGCCAGAAGGUUAAAGAAGUUGGUUAGCAAUUGCGAAGCUGAUAACUGAAGCCCUGGUGAACGGCGGCCGUAACUAUAACGGUCCUAAGGUAGCGAAAUUCCUUGUCGGGUAAGUUCCGACCCGCACGAAAGGCGUAAUGAUUUGGAUACUGUCUCGGAGAGGGGCUCGGUGAAAUAGACUUGUCUGUGAAGAUGCGGACUACCUGCACCAGGACAGAAAGACCCUAUGAAGCUUUACUGUAACUUGAAAUUGAGAUUGGACUUUAUUCGCGCAGCAUAGGUGGGAGGCGUUGAUUAUAAUCUUGCGGGAUUAUUGGAGCCAUCAGUGAGAUACCACUCUUGUAAUGUUAGAUUUCUAACUUUGAAUCAUUAUCUGGUCAAAGAACAGUUUCAGGUGGGCAGUUUGACUGGGGCGGUCGCCUCCUAAACGGUAACGGAGGCGUACAAAGGUUUCCUCUGAACGGUUAGAAAUCGUAUCUAGAGUGUAAAGGCAUAAGGAAGCUUGACUGUGAGACCUACAAGUCGAGCAGGGACGAAAGUCGGUCUUAGUGAUCUGACGGUACUGAGUGGAAAGGCCGUCACUCAACGGAUAAAAGUUACUCUAAGGAUAACAGGCUGAUCUCCCCCAAGAGUUCACAUCGACGGGGAGGUUUGGCACCUCGAUGUCGGCUCAUCGCAUCCUGGGGCGGUAGUACGUCCCAAGGGUUGGGCUGUUCGCCCAUGAAAGCGGUACGCGAGCUGGGUUCAGAACGUCGUGAGACAGUUCGGUCCAUAUCCGGUGUAGGCGUUAGAAUAUUGAGAGGAGCCUUCUUUAGUACGAGAGGACCGAGAAGGACAUACCUCUGGUGUACCAGUUAUCGUGCCAACGGUAAACGCUGGGUAGCUAUGUAUGGAGUGGAUAACCGCUGAAAGCAUCUAAGUGGGAAGCCCACCUCAAGAUAAGUAUUCUCAC